UAAUACAGAGGGUGCAAGCGUUAAUCGGAAUUACUGGGCGUAAAGGGCGCGUAGGUUGUUAUUUAAGUGAGAUGUGAAAGCCCCGGGCUUAACCUGGGAACUGCAUUUUAUACUGAAUAACUGGAGUGCAAUAGAGGGUAGUGGAAUUUCCGGUGUAGCGGUGAAAUGCGUAGAUAUCGGAAGGAACACCAGUGGCGAAGGCGGCUACCUGGAUUGACACUGACACUGAGGCGCGAAAGCGUGGGGAGCAAACAGGAUUAGAUACCCUGGUAGUCCACGCUGUAAACGAUGAAAACUAGAUGUUGUUGGGCUUAGACCCAUCAGUAUCGAAGCUAACGCGAUAAGUUUUCCGCCUGGGGAGUACGGUCGCAAGAUUA
rnacentral:rRNA from 1 species